GAUGAACGCUAGCGGCAGGCUUAAUACAUGCAAGUUGAGGGGCAGCAUGAUAUACGCGAGUAUAUUGAUGGCGACCGGCGGACGGGUGAGUAAUAGGUAGGAGACCUACCUCAUACAGGGGGAUAGCAUAGAGAAAUCUGUGGUAAUACCCCAUGAGGUUAUAUGAAUAGAGGCAUAUAAUCAAAGCAUAAGCGAUUAUGCGGUAUGAGAGGGGCCUACUGACCAUUAGCUAGUUGGUGAGGUAAGGGCUCACCAAGGCGAAGAUGGUUAGGGGUUUUGAGAGAGAGACCCCCCACAUUGGAACUGAGAGACGGUCCAGACUCCUACGGGAGCAGCAGUAGGGAAUAUUGGGCAAUGGGCGAAAGCCUGACCCAGCCAUGCCGCGUGAAGGAAGACGGCCUUUAUGGGUUGUAAACUUCUUUACUACGCGAAUAGAGGUUAGUACGAGAUACUAAUAGGAAGGUAGUGUAGUAAAAAGCAACCGGCUAAACUCCGU
rnacentral:rRNA from 1 species